rnacentral:rRNA from 1 species
CUUCACUGCAACUUGGCCCUGACACUCGGGAUUGAUUGCGUAGGAUAGGUGGGAGGCUUUGAAACUGGGUUUCUGGAUCCGGUGGAGCCAACCUUGAAAUACCACCCUGUUGAUUCUGGGUGUCUAACCUAGACCCAUCAUCUGGGUCAGGAACACGGUCUGGUGGGCAGUUUGACUGGGGCGGUCGCCUCCCAAAGAGUAACGGAGGCGCACGAAGGUCCCCUCAGCCUGAUUGGAAACCAGGCGUAGAGUGCAAUGGCAUAAGGGGGCUUGACUGCGAGGCCGACAGGCCGAGCAGGUACGAAAGUAGGUCAUAGUGAUCCGGUGGUUCUACAUGGAAGGGCCAUCGCUCAACGGAUAAAAGGUA